rnacentral:rRNA from 1 species
CGUUCCCGGGCCUUGUACACACCGCCCGUCACGCCAUGGAAGCCGGGAGUGCCCGAAGUCCGUGACUCAACCCUCGGGAGGGAGCGGCCGAAGGCAAAUUCGGUAACUGGGGCG